UUUCAGGUUGAUCCUGCCGGACCUGACUGCUAUCGGAUUGGUACUAAGCCAUGCGAGUCGUUGUAGCAAUACAAGGCGGACUGCUCAGUAACACGUAGUUAACUUAACCUAUGGAUGGGGAUAACCUCGGGAAACUGAGAAUAAUACCCAAUAGACCACAGUGCCUGGAAUGGCCUGUGGUUGAAAUGAUUUAUCGCUGUAGGAUAGGACUGCGGCCUAUCAGCUUGUUGGUGAGGUAAUGGCCCACCAAGGCUAUAACAGGUACGGGCUCUGAGAGGAGGGGCCCGGAGAUGGGUACUGAGACACGGACCCAGGCCCUAUGGGGCGCAGCAGGCGAGAAACCUUUGCAAUGUGCGAAAGCACGACAAGGUUAAUCCGAGUGUCUCCUGCUAAAGGAGUCUUUUGUCAGUUGUAGAAUCACUGGUGAAUAAGGGGUGGGCAAGUUCUGGUGUCAGCCGCCGCGGUAAAACCCAGCGCCUCGAGUGGUCAGGAGGCUUUUAUUUGGGCCUAAAGCAUCCCGUACCCGGUUGCUAGUUUUCGGUUAAUCUAUGCGCUCACGUAUAGGCGCGAAUACUGUGGCAGCUAGGAGUGGCCAGGGUCCCGGACUCCAUAGGCGGGUAAACCUUGGUCAUUGUGACCCUGGGCAAGCGGUCCAACCUUCGCGGAGAUGAGUGGGGCACCGGUGUACGGUAUCAUGGAGUGACUCUGUGUUGUGACCAGAGCCAGACGAGUGCCGGAUUUCCUGAUAGUUGGGCCCGGGCCG
rnacentral:rRNA from 1 species